AUGCCUUUGAAGCAUCUAGCAGCCAGAGUUUGCUUGUCUGCACAGGAUGGAUGCUUGCAAUGCAAUUACAUUCUUGGUAUUAAGAAGGUGAAAAGACUGAUGAGGAUUGCUGUUAUCCUGCAGAAGCUCUCCUACCAGUACCUCUCACACAGGUUUCCUGCACCAGUCACCUUCUGCACCUUAGCAUGGGUUCAAAGCUCACAUCUCAGCAGGGUUGGUCCACAUUACAGAAGCACAGGAGAGAUUUUUCCAGCUUUGUCGAGGAAGAGAAAACAUUUUACAUCUAUGGCUCAAAGGGAGAAUAAGUGAAUGAUGGAGAGCCAUGGCCUGACGAGCUUAACUUCUCCAGAUGACUGAGCACAGAAUGAAGAAAUGUAAUCACUGAAGAGUAGCGAGAGUCCUGAUUUUCUCAUCCCUCUGUGGGAUUUUUGGGUGAAUACAUCUCUAUUGUCCUCACUGAAAUAGCAUCUUACAUAUAAAGGUACUUCUGGAAGACUUUUGUGCUGAGCAUCUUCUGAUAAAACAUUCACAAAAUAGCCACUUCCCUUUUUAUCAAGAAAAGCUAUAAUCAUGCACUUGUUUAAUAUCUUCAAAUGAAUCUACAGUUUGAUUUUGCUUAGCAAAUGAAAUCUCUGUGAUUUCACAAAAAUCAUUUAAAAAACAAAAACAAAACUACAACAACUUAAGGCUUAAUAAGUAAAAGUGAUCUCUCUUUAAAGAGUGCUUAAAUAUUUACCGUAAAUGAAGAAGAGGUCUUCACAGUCUAAAUGAGAAAUAAUGCCCCUGCCAUUGCAAUUGUAUAAGAAAUUACCUUUUGGUAAAUGAGAAAAACCUUUCUAUUUUGGUUCAUGUAAAAAGUACGAAUAGUUUUCUUCUGUCAUAAGUGAUUUGCUUGUCAGCAUGUCCAUCACAAUAGCAUGGCUCAAUUCACACCUGCCCUGAAGGAGUAUAUAUGAUGGUAACUAUAGUCAGUGCAAUUCAGUGAUAUUACAUCGGAAUUAUUACCACCAGGCUUUUUUUCACAGUAACCGUUUAAGCUAGUGUUUAACAUAGAAGGUUAUGUAAAAUGUUAUGCGAUGAUUAUGAAAUAUUUUUUAUCCUAAGAAAUAGAAUUGGUCAGAGUGUAUGUGUCAG
rnacentral:lncRNA from 1 species